rnacentral:lncRNA from 1 species
UACAAGAGGGAUACGGACACACUGGAGAGAGCCCAGAAAAGGGCUACAAAGAAGCUGAAGGGAGUGGAGCACCUCUGCUAUGAGGAGGGGCUGAGAGAGCUGGGACUGCUCAGCCUGGGGAAGAGGAGGCUCAGGGGGAGCUCAUCCAUGUCUAUAAACACCUGAAGGAAAAAAUCAAAGAGGAUGGAGCCAGGCUCUUGCCAGUCAUGCCCAGGGCCAGAGCUACAGGCAAUGGGCAUGAACUAGAACACAGGAGGCACUGUCUGUACGCCAGGAAGCACUUUGUUACCGAGAAAUGGAACAGGUUGUGCAGAGAAGCGGCAGAGUCUCCCUCCUUGGAGAUAUUCAAAAGCCACCUGGACAUGCUCCUGGCAACCUGCUUAAGUAGGGAGAUUGGACCAGAUGACCUGCAGAGGUCCCUUCCAACCCCAGCCAGUCUCUGAUUCUGGGGGUGCCUGUCAUGUUGACCUGUGUAUGGAAGAGGACAAGGCCAGGAGUGGUUACAGACAUGGAAGAUGGAAGGCCUCGUGCCCACCACUGGCUUGCCAUGUGUCCUUGGGCUUGUUCCUUCACCUUUCUGUGUGCCCUGUGUUUAGGACACACACCUAUGGGACAACGGUAUGUCCCACCUACUUUCAUACAAUGCCUAUUAAAAGAAAGUUGGUUAUGACUGAAAUUUCAAAGCUUGAUCUAAGUACUUCUUCCCUCAAAUUCCUGGAUACCUCAGCAUCUCUUUUCUGCAUUUUGCAUGGUCUCCAGCUCUGUUGUCCAGUUCUCUGCCAGUGUCACUUGCUCCCAGAUCCACUCAGCUCAGACCCUCAUCCCAGCACCCAUCCUACCCGUUCUCUGCCUGGAUCCCCGUGCUGCUUCCCUGUUGGUCCCAUCCAUCCUCCUGAGCCCAUCUCCACCACAGGAUCCUUCUCCCAUUUUCUUUCUCUGGCCCCAGGAUCCAUGCUGUUUUUCAGGAUGGACCCAUCCAGAGCCUGCUCCUCUCACUAGCCUGCCCUCAGCAGAACUCAUGGAGAACAACCCACUGAACGGGUCUGUAGCAUGACCAGUGCAGACAAACUAUUGCAAGAUCUUAGAUGCUAAACUUCAGCUAGUUUCUACCGAGGCUGUGUGAACUGGAACUUUUCAAGUGUUUAUAAUGUGCCCAAAUUUGGGCAUCUUUUCUCUAGGAUAGCAAGAGGCACAUCUUGACAUACACAGCACCAUCUCUGCCAAAUGUCUUGUCCUGCUCCAUAGCUUGCAUGUGCUGGAGCUUCUCAAAAUAAAAGUCAUAAGAAUCUCA